rnacentral:rRNA from 1 species
UAAGCACCGGCUAACUACGUGCCAGCAGCCGCGGUAAUACGUAGGGUGCAAGGCGUUAAUCGGAAUUACUGGGCGUUAAAGCGUGCGCAGGCGGUUUUGUAAGUCUGGAUGUGAAAUCCCGGGCUCAACCUGGGAACUGCAUUGGAGACUGCAAGGCUAGAGUGUGUCAGAGGGGGGUAGGAAGUUCCACGUGUAGCAGUGAAAUAGCGUAGAGAUGUGGAGGAAUACCGAUGGCGAAGGCAGCCCCCUCGGGAUAACACUGACGCUCAUGCACGAAAGCGUGGGGAGCAAACAGGAUUAGAUACCCUGGUAG